AUACGUAGGGUGCGAGCGUUGUCCGGAAUUACUGGGCGUAAAGAGCUCGUAGGUGGUUUGUCGCGUCGUCUGUGAAAUUCCGGGGCUUAACUCCGGGCGUGCAGGCGAUACGGGCAUAACUUGAGUACUGUAGGGGAGACUGGAAUUCCUGGUGUAGCGGUGAAAUGCGCAGAUAUCAGGAGGAACACCGGUGGCGAAGGCGGGUCUCUGGGCAGUAACUGACGCUGAGGAGCGAAAGAAGGGGUAGCGAACAGGAUUAGAUACCCUGGUAGUCCAUGCCGUAAACGGUGGGCGCUAGGUGUAGGGGUCUUCCACGACUUCUGUGCCGUAGCUAACGCAUUAAGCGCCCCGCCUGGGGAGUACGGCCGCAAGGCUAAAACUCAAAUGAAUUGACGGGG
rnacentral:rRNA from 1 species